UUAAGCAUAUCAAUAAGCGGAGGAAAAGAAACUAACAAGGAUUCCCCUAGUAGCGGCGAGCGAAGCGGGAAGAGCUCAAAUUUAUAAUCUGGCACCUUCGGUGUCCGAGUUGUAAUCUCUAGAAGUGUUUUCCGCGUUGGACCGCACACAAGUCUGUUGGAAUACAGCGGCAUAGUGGUGAAACCCCCGUAUAUGGUGCGGACGCCCAGCGCUUUGUGAUACACUUUCAAUGAGUCGAGUUGUUUGGGAAUGCAGCUCAAAUUGGGUGGUAAAUUCCAUCUAAAGCUAAAUAUUGGCGAGAGACCGAUAGCGAACAAGUACCGUGAGGGAAAGAUGAAAAGCACUUUGGAAAGAGAGUUAACAGUACGUGAAAUUGUUGGAAGGGAAACGCUUGAAGUCAGACUUGCUUGCCGGAGCUUGCUUCGGUUUGCAGGCCAGCAUCAGUUUUCCGGGGUGGAUAAUGACGGUUUGAAGGUAGCAGUCUCGGCUGUGUUAUAGCUUUCCGUUGGAUACGCCCUGGGGGACUGAGGAACGCAGCGUGCUUUUUGCGAAAGACUCGUCUUUUUCACGCUUAGGAUGCUGGUGGAAUGGCUUUAAACGACCCGUCUUGAAACACGGACCAAGGAGUCUAACAUGCUCGCGAGUAUUUGGGUGUCAAACCCGGAUGCGCAAUGAAAGUGAAUGUAGGUGGGAACCGCAAGGUGCACCAUCGACCGAUCUGGAUUUUUUAAGAUGGAUUUGAGUAAGAGCGCGUAUGUUGGGACCCGAAAGAUGGUGAACUAUGCCUGAAUAGGGCGAAGCCAGAGGAAACUCUGGUGGAGGCUCGUAGCGGUUCUGACGUGCAAAUCGAUCGUCAAAUUUGGGUAUAGGGGCGAAAGACUAAUCGAACCAUCUAGUAGCUGGUUCCUGCCGAAGU
rnacentral:rRNA from 1 species